AAUAAAGUGCCUGACAAAAGGACCAUUUUGAUAGAAUGGGUAAUGUAAUUCGGAAUUACCUUUAUUA
rnacentral:tRNA from 1 species